rnacentral:rRNA from 1 species
GACGAACGCUGGCGGCGUGCUUAACACAUGCAAGUCGAACGGAAAGGCCCUGCUUUUGUGGGGUGCUCGAGUGGCGAACGGGUGAGUAACACGUGAGUAACCUGCCCUUGACUUUGGGAUAACUUCAGGAAACUGGGGCUAAUACCGGAUAGGAGCUCCUGCUGCAUGGUGGGGGUUGGAAAGUUUCGGCGGUUGGGGAUGGACUCGCGGCUUAUCAGCUUGUUGGUGGGGUAGUGGCUUACCAAGGCUUUGACGGGUAGCCGGCCUGAGAGGGUGACCGACCACAUUGGGACUGAGAUACGGCCCAGACUCCUACGGGAGGCAGCAGUGGGGAAUAAUGCACAAUGGGCGGAAGCCUGAUGCAGCAACGCCGCGUGCGGGAUGACGGCCUUCGGGUUGUAAACCGCUUUCGCCUGUGACGAAGCGUGAGUGACGGUAAUGGGUAAAGAAGCACCGGCUAACUACGUG